CUCACAUCAGUCGAUUCCUUUCUUCAUAUUAUUGUUCUUAAUCUCCCAGAACCUCAAAUUUUCAAAUGGGAUCAACUUCAGAUGUCUCCUCUACAAACACCACAAACACUAACACUGUCCCUAACCACAACCACCCUUAUUUUCUUCAUACUUCAGAUUCACCAGGCAUGAAUCUGGUGAACUCAUGCUUUGAUGGAAAUGGAUAUGGGGGCUGGAGAAAAUUUAUUUUGAUUGCACUCUCAGUAAAGAACAAAGUGGGAUUUAUUGAUGGAACCCACAGUGAACCAGUACAUGGAUCUCCUGACUUAAAGUUGUGGAGCAGAUGUAAUGAUAUGGUGAUAUCAUGGCUCCUCAACUCACUGUCCAAGGAAAUAGCAAGCAGUGUUAUUUAUGCCAAAAUAGCAAGAGAUCUAUGGAAAGAGUUUGAAGACAAAUUUGGGCAAUCAAAUGGAUACCACCUGCAAAAAAAGCUUAAUGAUUUAGUGCAGGGGUAAAACGACAUAGCAGGUUACUUCACAAAGAUAAAAGGGUUGUGAGAUGAGCUUGAUGCUCUCAACACAAAUGUUCAUGUUCAUGCGCACUGUGGUGGGAAGGCAAAAAUGAACAAGUCACUUCAAGAUGAGAGACUUAUUCAAUUUCUCAUGGGUUUAAAUGAUACAUAUGCUGUUGUCAAGAGUAGCAUACUUAUGAUAACACCUUUGCCAACUGUUAAUCAUGCAUACUCACUAUUGAUGCGGGAUGAAAAGGAAAGAGAAUUCUUUGUAAGCUCAUAAGUCCCUGGGGAUUCUUCCUCUUUCUUAGCUGCAAAUCAAAACAUUUUGGGUCAGAAAAAGUGGAAACUAUGAACUCGAGGGAAAGAAGAACAAUCUAGUGUGUUCUCACUAUAAGAAAGUAGGGCAUUCAGUGGACAAAUGCAACAGGAUAAUAGGACUUCCAGCUGACUUCAAGUUUACUAAACUCAAGAGGUUUCAAGGAAAUACAAGGAGUAAUGCAGUUUUUUCUACUAAGGGAGAACAAGGACACGUUUCUUACCAUUUUGAUGGUGGCCAUACAACUUGUCAGUUGACUCAAGAUCAAUAUACACAGCUUAUCCAUCUAUUUCAACAAUCUAAGAUGAACUAUACUGAAACCUCAGGAUCUGAGGCUGCAGCAAAUGUUGUGAACUGUGCUGGUAACACCUUGAACAAAUCAUUUUGCACACUAAUUUUUUCAAACAGAAAACUUGAAUAUUGGAUUCAGGGGUAACAGACACACAUGUGUUAUGAUUCAAAGACUUUCUUAGAUUUGAGUCCUCUUCCUUCUCCUAUCUUUGUUAAUCUUCCUAAUUCAUAUAGAUUAAAGGUAACACAUGUUGGUAGUGUUAACAUUCACCCAGAAAUUACUUUAAAAAAUGUUCUACUGGUGCCUUCUUUCACGCUUAAGCUAAUUUCAGUCCAUAAGUUAUGCAAACAACUAACUUGUCUUCUAAUUUUCUCUUUAACUGGAUAUUUCUUGCAGGUCCCUUCAAUGAAGAGGCCUCUGGAGUUUGGUGAAGCUAGAUCAGGGCUUUAUCUUUUGGAGUCACUUUUUCAACCUUCCAAGAAGUUUUUUACAAAUANNNNNNNNNNNNNNNNNNNNAAAUAAUAUAGUUUCUUUGUCUAGUCAGAAGAAAGCUAGUUGUUUUUCAAUUUGUAGUUUUGUUUCUAUUCCUGUAAAGAACAGUUCUGAUGUAAGGCUAUGACACCUCAGAUUCGGCCAUAUACCAUUUCCAGCAAUGAAAAAUAUUUAUUCAAGUCAAUUGAGUCCUUUUCAUUUUAAUUUCACUUGCAAUAUUUGUCCAUUAGCAAGACAAUCAAUGCUUUUUCUUUCCAAUGAAAUCAAAUCUAAGAAUGUCCUAGAAUUAAUACACAUUGAUACUUGGGGACCAUACAAGAUUGCUACACAUGAUGGAUAUAAGCAUUUCUUAACUAUCAUUGAUGAUUAUAGGGGAACCUGGACUUACCUUCUAAAGACUAAAAGUAAUACAUUUUUUAUUCUAAAAUAUUUUUUGAGUAUGGCAGAAAGGCAAUUCAAUGUGAAGGUAAAGAUUGUGAGAUCAGAUAAUGCUCUAGAGUUGGGAAGCAGUAAAGAUUCAUCUGAUUUCUUUGUUUCACAAGGAAUAAUUCAUCAAACCUCAUGUGUUCAUACUCCACAACAAAAUGGAGUUGUGGAGAGAAAACAUAGGCAUCUCUUGGAAGUUAGCAGAGCUCUAUUGCAUCAAUCUAGAGUACCCAUAAGAUAUUGGGGAGAAUGUCUUCUUACAACUACUUUCUUGAUUAAUAGAUAUCCAUCCAGAAUUUUAAGGAACAAAACAUCUUAUGAGUUCUUAUUUGGACAUGCACCCUAUUAUUCUUUCCUAAGAAGUUUUGGUUAUAUAUGUUAUGCCAACACAAGUGCAAAUAACAUUGGGAAGUUUGAGCCUAGAGCAAGUGCUUGUGUAUUUAUGGGUUAUCCUUAUGGAAAGAAAGGAUACACGUUUCUAGACUUACAAAGAAAGAAAAUAUUUAUUUCAAGGGAUGUGAAAUUUUAUGAAGAUAUCUGUACUUUCUCUACUUAUUCUUCUGAUCCUAAUCAGUUUUCUUCAACUCCUAUUUUCAGUCUAAGUGAUUCAUAAGAUAUGACUGAACCCCCUAAAUUUGACAAAGUUAGUGAUUCACAACUAAGUUUGUCACCUCAAAGACAGUCUAGUCCUAUUUCCAGGCCAAGAAAGUCACCAAACAACUCAUCAGCCUUGCUUGAUUCUCCUGUUUUCUCUGAUGACUCAUCACCUUCACCUGCAUUUCCUUUUUUUUUUCCUGAUCCUGUCACAACAACAUAUUUAAGAAGAUCAUAAGGGCCUCACAACAAGCCAGGAUAUUUGAAAGAUUAUGUCUGCAAUGCUGUUUUCCUCACAGAUCUUACUAAUUCUUCUUUUACUAAACCAGUCAACACCUCUACAUAUUCAUGUGCAAAUCUAUCCACUACAAACCAAUAAGUCUUGAAUUUAAUUUCUACUAUGACUGAACCUAACUCUUUUUCACAAGCCAUUUUGCACCCAGGAUGGCAGCAUGCUAUGGAAUCAGAAUUUCAAACUUUGAAAGACAAUAAAACUUAGGAUGUAGUUCAAUUGCCACAAGGAAGAAAGGUUUUUUCUUGUAAGUGGGUGUACAAGGUUAAGCAUAAUUCAGAUGGUAACAUAGAGAGAUUGAAGGCAAGGUUGGUUAUUAGAGGGGAUAUUCAAAGAGAGAGAAUUGAUUUCAAUGAAACCUUCUCCCCUGUAGUCAAACUGACUACAAUCAGGUGUAUACUGACAGUGGUAGCUAAGAAAUGAUGGCAAAUUUCACAACUAGAUGUGAACAAUGCCUUUUUUCAUGGUGAACUGCAGGAAGAGGUUUAAAUAAAAUUUCCUGAUGAAAUUCCUUCACCUGGUCCAAAUCAUGUUUGCAGACUCAAAAAAUCUCUAUAUGGGCUUCGAUAGGUAUCACGACAAUGGUAUGCAAGGUUAGCUCCAGCUUAAACUUUAAGGGUUUCAGUUCUUCUAUGAAUGAUUAUUCCCUUUUCUUUAAAAAGCUAGGAGACCUAAUUUCUAUUGUGGCAGUAUAUGUGGAUGACAUUGUUCUAACAGGAAACAGUCCAGAAGAGUUAUCUCAGUUAAAAGUUUUUUUAGAUUCAGAGUUCAAGAUCAAAAACCUAGGUAACUUGCACUAUUUUCUGGGAAUGGAAAUACUUAGAGAAUAACAUGGAAUGAUAGUGAGCCAAAGGAAAUUUACCUUGGAACUCUUAAGCAAGUUCAAUUGUGAUCACUUGCCUUUGGUUUCAUCGCCCCUUGACCCUUCUUGCAAAUUAAGUGCAGAAUCUGGAGAUAUACUGGCCGAUCCCACUUCAUAUCGCUGCUUACUUGGAAAGCUGAAUUAUUUAACUCACAUUAGGCCGGAUCUCUCUUUUGUGGUGCAUCAUCUGAGUCAAUACAUGCAACAACCAAAAAAUACUCAUUACUUGUUGCCUUGAGAGUAGUCAGAUAUCUACGUUCAAACCCAAGUCAAGGCCUCUUUUUCUCAGCAGCUCCCCUAUGUCUUUGCUUGCUUUUUCCGAUGCCAAUUGGGAGUCUUGUGUGGACUCUCAUUGUUCAAUCAGUGGUUAUUUUAUCAGUCUAGGCGGAUCUCUAAUUUUAUAAAAAUCUAAGAAGCAAGCAUCUGUAUUGCUCUCCUCAGCUGAGGCAGAGUAUCGUUCUAUGAAAAGAGUGGUAGCGGGGAUAACGUGGUUAACCCGUCUUCUCACUGAUCUGAAUGCUUCUCAUUCACUUCCGGUUCCGAUUCAUUCUGACAGUCAUGCUGCUAUACAUAUAGCUCGGAAUCUAGUGUUUUACGAGAGAACCAAGCAUGCAGAGUUAGAUUUCCACUUCGUUCGGUAACAAUUCCUUUCUGGGUUGAUUUCCCUUUCGUUCGUACUAUUUUCCUUUCAAUUGAUAGAUCUCUUCACAAAACCCUUAUCAGGACCAGCGUACCAUUCAAUCCUCGGCAAGUUGGGGGUCGCUUCUCUCUCCUCCAACUUGAGGGAGGGUGUUGGAAUUGAAAAAUAUAUACACAAAGUGUUGAAUUUGGUAGAACAAGAGAUGAGAGGAAAAGAGACGAAAGAAGAGAAAGUUC
rnacentral:lncRNA from 1 species